UACGUAGGGUGCAAGCGUUUGUCCGGAAUUAUUGGGCGUAAAGAGCUCGUAGGCGGUUUGUCGCGUCUGCUGUGAAAACCUCAGGCUCAACCUGGGGCUUGCAGUGGGUACGGGCAGACUAGAGUGUGGUAGGGGAGACUGGAAUUCCUGGUGUAGCGGUGGAAUGCGCAGAUAUCAGGAGGAACACCGGUGGGCGAAGGCGGGGUCUCUGGGCCGUAACUGACGC
rnacentral:rRNA from 1 species